AGAGGGUGGGACAGGGAGGGGGACAGUGCCAGGGGUGUAGGGUGAUAUAAAGUUACUGGGGUGGGUUUGCGACGCGCUGGCACCGAGGCGAUGGGCCGAAUGGCCGCUACACGUGGACACACAGCGGGGUUGACGUAGUCCAGUGCUGGGCAUUUGUCGGAGAGGCCUGUGGCGGUGAUCAUAAACGCUGCUUUUGCAUCAAGAGCCACUGCCCUGUGAAGUGGGCUGGAUAGUGGGUGCGUCUUACUGCUUGGGGUUGUGAGUGGGCUGAAGACCAUGUUGCUGUGAAGUUCCAAGUUGUCUUGCUGUGAUUCCCCACUGCAUCAAUCUGACCGUGUGGGUUUCCUCAAGGUGCUCUGGUUUCCUCCCACAUCCUAAAGAUGGCGAGUUUGUAGGUUAAUUGACUUCUGUAAAUUGCCUCUAGUGUGUAGGGAGUGGAUGAGAUAGUGGGAAUAACAUAGAACCAGUUCUAUGGGUAAAUGAUGUUCGACGUGGGCUCGGUGUGCAGAAGGGCCUGUUUCUGUGCUGUAUUUUUCAAUCAAUUUAACUACUUGAUGGGCACAAUUUGGAUGUUGGGGAAGCUGGAGCAUUUGUGACCUCAUGCAGUAGGCUUUAAUCGGCAAAUGUAUUAAUAGAUGUAAUGAUAAAUCAUUAAUUUUAACAUUUACUAGGUGUGCUUUUGCUGUGUAAUUUUAAAAAUAAACUAUUUAAAAG